rnacentral:rRNA from 1 species
GACGAACGCUGGCGGCGUGCUUAACACAUGCAAGUCGAACGGUAAGGCCUUCGGGUACACGAGUGGCGAACGGGUGAGUAACACGUGGGUGAUCUGCCCCCUACUCUGGGAUAAGCCUGGGAAACUGGGUCUAAUACCGGAUAUGACCUCCUUCUGCAUGGUUGGUGGUGGAAAGUUUUUUCGGUAGGGGAUGAGCCCGCGGCCUAUCAGCUUGUUGGUGGGGUCAUGGCCUACCAAGGCGACGACGGGUAGCCGGCCUGAGAGGGCGACCGGCCACACGGGGACUGAGACACGGCCCAGACUCCUCCGGGAGGCAGCAGUGGGGAAUAUUGCACAAUGGGCGAAAGCUUGAUGCAGCGACGCCGCGUGGGGGAUGACGGCCUUCGGGUUGUAAACCCCUUUCAGUCGGGACGAAGCGAGAGUGACGGUACCGAUAGAAGAAGCACCGGCCAACUACGUGCCAGCCGCCGCAUAAAAC